UCCUACGGGAGGCAGCAGUGGGGAAUAUUGGACAAUGGGGGCAACCCUAAUCCAGCCAUGCCGCGUGUGUGAAGAAGGCCCUCGGGUUGUAAAGCACUUUCAGCGAGGAAGAACGCCUAGCGGUUAAUACCCGCUAGGAAAGACAUCACUCUCAGAAGAAGCACCGGCUAACUCCGUGCCAGCAGCCGCGGUAAUACGGAGGGUGCAAGCGUUAAUCGGAAUUACUGGGCGUAAAGCGCGCGUAGGUGGCUUGAUAAGCCGGUUGUGAAAGCCCCGGGCUCAACCUGGGAACGGCAUCCGGAACUGUCAAGCUAGAGUGCAGGAGAGGAAGGUAGAAUUCCCGGUGUAGCGGUGAAAUGCGUAGAGAUCGGGAGGAAUACCAGUGGCGAAGGCGGCCUUCUGGACUGACACUGACACUGAGGUGCGAAAGCGUGGGUAGCAAACAGGAUUAGAUACCCUGGUAGUCCACGCCGUAAACGAUGUCGACCAGCCGUUGGGUGCCUAGCGCACUUUGUGGCGAAGUUAACGCGAUAAGUCGACCGCCUGGGGAGUACGGCCGCAAGGUUAAAACUCAAAUGAAUUGACGGG
rnacentral:rRNA from 1 species